rnacentral:rRNA from 1 species
CUGCGCCUACGGGGGGCAGCAGUGAGGAAUAUUGGUCAAUGGGCUAAGGCCUGAACCAGCCAAGUCGCGUGAGGGAAGACGGUCCUAUGGAUUGUAAACCUCUUUUGUCGGGGAGCAACGAGGCCACGUGUGGCCGAAGUGAGAGUACCCGAAGAAAAAGCAUCGGCUAACUCCGUGCCAGCAGCCGCGGUAAUACGGAGGAUGCGAGCGUUAUCCGGAUUUAUUGGGUUUAAAGGGUGCGUAGGCGGAUUUUUAAGUCAGCGGUAAAAUGUCCGGGCUCAACCCGGGCCGGCCGUUGAAACUGG